ACAUGAACAUUAACCAAAGUGUAAAUAAACAAGCAAAUGUGUAAAUUAUGAAAUAUUCAUUUUCAAAUCUCAGUAAAUAUAUCAGAUGAAAGAUGGUCAGAUGACAAAAAUACAUUUGGGAAACCCACCAUUAUAUGUAAAUAAGAAAUAAUGUGAAUUUGUGUAUUUUAAUGUGUUUGAAAGACAAAUGCCUUCCAAAGUUAUUAAAAACAGAUGUUAAAAUAAGUUAUAAUUCAGUGAUAAUUCAGAUAAAUAUGAUUGUGUUCAUCAAUAUUUAGAUGAUUUCUGUAAAUGCAGUGGUCAGCUGAGUAAUGACUGGACACAACUGACAGACUUUCUGAGUCUAUAGAAGCGGUGGAUAUUUCAGGAAGGAAUGUUUAAAAGAUGGAAAAGAGGAAUUAGGGAGAAUCACUAAAUGAAAGCGACAUCAUUUGUAUAAAUAAUAUGUAACUGUAGUCUGAUUCUGAGUAUUUAAUUUAAUUACAAGUACUUAAUUACUGGAAUCUGAUUACAUAACUCAGAUUAAAUAUAAUCAGUUUCUACCCAGCUCUGAUGAUAUAAUAUUAUAAUAUUACUGCACUAGAUUACAGAUAUGCUAUACUAUUAUAAUAUUGUUAAUGUGUAGUAAUAUUCAAGCUGUUUUUCAGGUUCACCUGUGCUCAUGAGAUCAGUGUGGUUAACUCUCAUGAUGCUGAUCAAUGCUGUAUUGGUCUAUUUCUACAUCACAGCUCUGGAAAAUGAAAAGGAUCGUGUCGGAUGGGUCUGUGUGAUUGUGUUUCUCCAGACGCUCUGGGCACUGGUCAACUUCACAUGGUCAUUUCAGUCAUUCGGUACAGUAUAAAUAAUUUUCGGUCAUACGGUACAGUAUAAAUCAUCUGCUAUGAUCUUCUUCUCACUGUCAUGAUUUCACUAUCAGCUCUUGUUUAUUCUCUUCACUCUUCUGAACAGAGAUCGAGUCUCCACAAAGGAAAAUAUUAUCAUAAUUGUAACAGUAAAGGACUGUAAAAAUGCAACAGUAAAAACACUUAACAGUAAUUUUCCCUUAACAAAAUUUCUUGUUUUUGUUCUUAUAAGUUAUGAGCAUUAGGACUUUGUUACAUCUUAUGUUAAUAUUAACUGCACUAUUUCAGUCUCGUGUGUGUUAUGAUGGUGGUGUUUAUUAUUUGUGUGAAUGAUGCAGCUUCUGUAUAUUAAUAUUUUCCUCAUCAGCUUAUGAUAAUCUUUGAUUCAUCAGUAACUUUCUCUUGUCAGUGUAUCAUAAAUGUACAGAACAGAUUUCAGCGCUUCAGGAGGCUGAAAUAUUAACAUUAUAGCAGUUAAUGAAAUACAGGUUUAUCAUUUAAGACACAUCAAUAAAUCCUGAAUAUAUUUUAAGAUGAAGUUCUGCUGACUUUAUUUUAUUUUUACUGUAAAACUUCACGUAUGUUUUUAAAGUGUAGUUAAGUUAUUCAGCAUUUUCAAUCCCAGAAAAGCUUUACUUCUGUUGUUGUGAUAAUGAUUUUCAUGAAACCGAGCUGAUAUUUCACUGUAAUGUUUCCUCAAUCAAGCUCAAACGUGUGAAAUAUGAGGCUGUGUUUGUGUAUGAAUAUUGAGUUGUUGUCAUGUUUUAUUCAACUUCUCUCAAUGAACAAAUGAAUGAUGAAAAACCUUAUUAUUCUACACACUUUUGUCUGUAUGAUUUAUUAGUUCUCAUUAUCUUCAUGAAGCACUUCUGUCCUGAUGAUAAUCAAUGCCUCAAAUCAAACACCAGAAAGACCAAGACUCAACUAUAGAAAGAUGUGGAUAUCAAAUACAUUAAAUGUUGUGUUUUUUUCUCUGUAGUGGUUAUUUAAGUGGUGUAAUUGUAUGUAAAGCUGCUGAUAUUGAACAGUAUGAUUUGAUCUUUCAGCUCUUCCCAGUCUCGCAGCUGUGUAUGUGUUUGGAUCAGUCGGUGUUGUGUUACUGAACUCUGUUGCUCUGAUGAUUGAACUGAUCCUCAAAACAGGUGAAUGAACACUUGAUCAUCACACACUACACAAUUACACUCAUACAUCUGCAUAUUAAUGAUUAUUAUAAACUCAUACAGAUCUGGGUCUGAGGUCAGUCACUGUCUGCAGUCAGCAGAAUCAUCACAUCGUGUGUGUGGUGUCUAAAGAUUAGAAACUUAGGAUUCAAACACCAGUCGUUUUCACAAAUACUUGUUUAAACAUGUUUGAUAUUUGUGACUGUCUCCAGAUAUUGUAUAUGAGACUAUGAAGAUGUUCACUGUCAAACAACAUUUAAGGUUCAUGUUGUCAUUUUAUCAAAUAGUUUUCUUCAUUACACAUCUUAUUGUG
ensembl:lncRNA